UACGAGGGGUGCAAGCGUUGCUCGGAAUUAUUGGGCGUAAAGGGUUGGUAGGUGGUCUUAUUUGUCUGGGGUGAAAGCCUUGGGCUUAACCUCAAGAAGUCGCCCCAGAAACGGUAAGACUAGGAGUCUCGGAGAGGGUCGUGGAACGUCCGGUGUAGCGGUGAAAUGCGUAGAGAUCGGGAGGAACACCAGCGGCGAAGGCGGCGACCUGGACGAGCACUGACACUCAACAACGAAGCGUGGGGGAGCAAACAGG
rnacentral:rRNA from 1 species